rnacentral:rRNA from 1 species
AUUGAACGCUGGCGGCAGGCCUAACACAUGCAAGUCGAGCGGAUGAAGGGAGCUUGCUCCUGGAUUCAGCGGCAGACGGGUGAGUAAUGCCUAGGAAUCUGCCUGGUAGUGGGGGAUAACGUCCGGAAACGGGCGCUAAUACCGCAUACGUCCUGAGGGAGAAAGUGGGGGAUCUUCGGACCUCACGCUAUCAGAUGAGCCUAGGUCGGAUUAGCUAGUUGGUGGGGUAAAGGCCUACCAAGGCGACGAUCCGUAACUGGUCUGAGAGGAUGAUCAGUCACACUGGAACUGAGACACGGUCCAGACUCCUACGGGAGGCAGCAGUGGGGAAUAUUGGACAAUGGGCGAAAGCCUGAUCCAGCCAUGCCGCGUGUGUGAAGAAGGCCUUCGGAUUGUAAAGCACUUUAAGUUGGGAGGAAGGGCAGUAAGUUAAUACCUUGCUGUUUUGACGUUACCAACAGAAUAAGCACCGGCUAACUUCGUG